CAGGAGUACCACAAACUAAUCAAUAAAAUGAAUCAUUGAUACCUAUUGUCGCUUCUGGGUGUUCACAUGAUUUUUUUGACAGCUUAAUCGCAAAAGCUAUA